GAGUGAACGCUGGCGGUAGGCCUAACACAUGCAAGUCGAACGGCAGCACAGUAAGAGCUUGCUCUUACGGGUGGCGAGUGGCGGACGGGUGAGGAAUACAUCGGAAUCUACUUUUUCGUGGGGGAUAACGUAGGGAAACUUACGCUAAUACCGCAUACGACCUACGGGUGAAAGCAGGGGAUCUUCGGACCUUGCGCGAUUGAAUGAGCCGAUGUCGGAUUAGCUAGUUGGCGGGGUAAAGGCCCACCAAGGCGACGAUCCGUAGCUGGUCUGAGAGGAUGAUCAGCCACACUGGAACUGAGACACGGUCCAGACUCCUACGGGAGGCAGCAGUGGGGAAUAUUGGACAAUGGGCGCAAGCCUGAUCCAGCCAUACCGCGUGGGUGAAGAAGGCCUUCGGGUUGUAAAGCCCUUUUGUUGGGAAAGAAAAGCAGCAGGUUAAUACCCCGCUGUUCUGACGGUACCCAAAGAAUAAGCACCGGCUAACUUCGUG
rnacentral:rRNA from 1 species